rnacentral:rRNA from 1 species
AGAGUUUGAUCCUGGCUCAGGAUGAACGCUGGCGGCGUGCUUAACACAUGCAAGUCGAACGGGAAACUUUUCAUUGAAGCUUCGGCAGAUUUGGUCUGUUUCUAGUGGCGGACGGGUGAGUAACGCGUGGGUAACCUGCCUUAUACAGGGGGAUAACAACCAGAAAUGGUUGCUAAUACCGCAUAAGCGCACAGGACCGCAUGGUCCGGUGUGAAAAACUCCGGUGGUAUAAGAUGGACCCGCGUUGGAUUAGCUAGUUGGCAGGGUAACGGCCUACCAAGGCGACGAUCCAUAGCCGGCCUGAGAGGGUGAACGGCCACAUUGGGACUGAGACACGGCCCAGACUCCUACGGGAGGCAGCAGUGGGGAAUAUUGCACAAUGGGGGAAACCCUGAUGCAGCGACGCCCGCGAGAAGGAAAAAGUAUUUCGGUAUGUAAACUUCUAUCAGCAGGGAAGAUAGUGACGGUACCUGACUAAGAAGCUCCGGCUAACUACGUGCCAGCAGCCGCGGUAAUACGUAGGGGGCAAGCGUUAUCCGGAUUUACUGGGUGUAAAGGGAGCGUAGACGGACUGGCAAGUCUGAUGUGAAAGGCGGGGGCACAACCCCUGGACUGCAUUGGAAACUGUUAGUCUUGAGUGCCGGAGAGGUAAGCGGAAUUCCUAGUGUAGCGGUGAAAUGCGUAGAUAUUAGGAGGAACACCAGUGGCGAAGGCGGCUUACUGGACGGUAACUGACGUUGAGGCUCGAAAGCGUGGGGAGCAAACAGGAAGGGAUACCCUGGUAGUCCACGCCGUAAACG